rnacentral:rRNA from 1 species
CCUACGGGAGGCAGCAGUGAGGAAUAUUGGUCAAUGGCCGAGAGGCUGAACCAGCCAAGCCGCGUGAGGGAAGAAUGCCCUAUGGAUUGUAAACCUCUUUUGUCAGGGAGCAAAGUCACCCACGUGUGGGUGUUGGAGAGUACCUGAAGAAAAAGCAUCGGCAAACUCCGUGCCAGCAGCCGCGGUAAUACGGGGGAUGCGAGCGUUAUCCGGAUUUAUUGGGUUAAAAGGGUGCGAAGGCGGGUUAUCAAGUCAGCGGUAAAAUCGUGGGGCUAAACUGCAUCCAGCAGUUGAAACUGAUGGUCUUGAGUGGGCGAGAGGGAUGCGGAAUGCGUGGUGUAGCGGUGAAAUGCAUAGAUAUCAGGAAGAACACCGGUGGCGAAGGCAGCAUACCGGAGCCCGACUGACGCUGAGGCACGAAAGCGUGGGUAUCGAACAGGAUUAGAUACCCCUGUAGUC